AGAAUCAACGCUGGCGGCGUGCCUAACACAUGCAAGUCGCACGAGAAAGGGACUUCGGUCCUGAGUAAAGUGGCGCACGGGUGAGUAACACGUGAAUAAUCUACCUCCGAGUGGGGAAUAACUGAGAGAAAUCUUGGCUAAUACCGCAUAACACUUACGAGUCAAAGCAGCAAUGCGCUUGGAGAGGAGUUCGCGGCAGAUUAGUUAGUUGGGCGGGGUAAUGGCCCACCAAGACGAUGAUCUGUA
rnacentral:rRNA from 1 species